CUUUUCCUUGCCGAUGACUUCCCUAUCUUAUUGAAGAAGGCAAUCAGAGCCCUUGAACUUGAGGCUAAACUACAGCCUACCCAACAAGAUGACACCGAUCUACCUAAAGGCAAAGGUGAAUCCUUUCCAAAACCCUCACCAUCAUCUGAUGAGGUUCCUUUUCCAUCUGAUUUCAUGAGAGUAAUCAAAGAUGAAUGAAUGGUCCAAACCUGCCACAGUCAGACCCAACACACUGUUGCUCUAAUGUUCUUGACUUGGAAAACUCUUUUCCUUACAACUAUCACUUCGGCACGUAGAGUAUCAGAAUUGGGAGCACUGUCAACUAGAAGUGAACUUUGCAUAUUCAGAAAAGAUUCUGUUUUACUUCGACUGGACCCAACUUUUAUGACCAAGAUCUCAAGAGAUUAUCUUGCCUUCCCUUGUUCCAGAUCCCAAAAAGGAACUUGAAAAGACAUGGCAUACACUAGACAUUAGAUGGGCUCUCCUCACUUAUAUCAAGCGUACCCGCAAAACCCGCAAAUCAGAUCGCCUGUUUGUGUCUUUUAGUUCAAACUACAUGGGAAAAAAGGUCUCAUCUUCUACUCUAUCUAGAUGGAUUCGCUCCUGCAUAGCUACAUGUUAUUCAUCCUCCGGAGCCACACUCCAGGGAAGGGUCACUGCACAUUCCACUUGCAGUGCCGCGACCUCUGAUGCCCUUGCCACUAAUGCUCCCUUAGCAGAUAUUUGUAGGGCAGCCACAUGGUCAUCCCCUUUCACAUUUAUCCGUCAUUACCGAAUCGAUGCCUUCCAAUCGGCUGAGGCAUCGUUUGGGAGGCGGAUACUUCAGUCCAUUUUAUAGAUUUCUGAUUACCUCAGUUUCCCGCCCAUUGGAGAGCUUUGGUAUAUCCCUCAUUAAGGAUGGCUCCGCCUUCAAUGCUGGAAAAACGAACAUUGGCUUACCUUGUGAGAUGUUUGUUUUCAGCGAUGAGGGCAGAGACAUCCUGCCCUCCCGAAAUUGAGGAAAUAUUCUCCCCGGUGCCGGGGGGGAUAGGCUGUUAGUUCAACUAAGUUUUUUCUAGUUAUGGCUUGUUGAGUUUUCAUGUUUAUCAUGAAUUUUAGAUAUUUAACAAUAUAUAGACGUUAGUCUUCUAGAUUUAUCUAUACUUUGCUUGGCUUUUCAAUGACUGGGCAACUGAGUGGGGGGGUGUCUCCUUGUGCUGAUGCCCAAAGUCAAGAUCCUGCCUGACUGGAGCAAAAGGGAGAACCAACCCAUAUUAAGGAUGUCUCCGCCCUCCUCGCUGAAAACAAACAUCUCACAAGCCUGGACCUUUGACUAUUGGACUGCCUAAUCAUCUUUACUCUCUGGAACCCUUGACCUUGGGCUGUCUGAUCAUCUUGCUUUGCUGCAACUCUGGACCUCGGAUUGCUCAACUAUUCUCUGCCUGCUAAAACUGGACCGGAACACCUUGGACUGGAAAACUGAUGACCAUCCGCCCGUGAUGCCCAUGAUGAUGGAGGGCAAACAACAUUUUGAGGUGGCCAAAAUUUUAGACUCUCGAGUUCAUAGGGGUCAAGUACAAUAUUUGAUUAGGUGGAAACACUUUUCACAAGACCAUGAUGAAUGGAUCCAUCACUGUCAUGUUAAUGCCCCUCAGCUGGUAGCUAAAUUCAUCAAAAAUAUCCAAACAAACCUGCUCCACCAUGUGAUUAACUUUACAUUUCUACAUGUUUGAUGUUUACUGAUAUGCUUUAUUUGUUAAUAGGGUGAUUUUUUUGGGGGGACAGACUGUUAGAAUUCUUGGAUUCUAUCAGAAGUACAUAUAUAUUGGAAAGGUUGGGGAUAAUGGUUUAGGAGAAAUAAGAGUUGUGGGCUGAAAAUAUUUAGUUUAGCUAUAGCCUGGAUAGGCUUAGGGUAGGGUUGUCAUGUCUCACCUGGGGGUGGGACAUUCCUGCUUUUCAACCGGGCGGGGUCGUCCCAUCCCGGUUUCAUCACUUGACCCGGGUUUGCCCCAGGUCAGCUGCUGCUGCGGGCUGCUAUGGCGGCUGCUCCUGCGGCCGCCACCACAGACGCAGCCUUUACUGGCUGGCUGCUGGUGCUUCCACUUGCCUGGCUCUUGUAGGAGGAGACCUGUAGACACUGGAAUGGAAAUGGUCCUCCUCCUCCUCCACCAGCCCAGCCCACGUGUGCACCAAAUAGAGGAGCUCCUCCUCCUGAGGCUGGCUGGCCAAUGGCUGAACAGCCCACCCCUUCUGCAGACUGGAGUCUGUGACUGCUGGCGGGGGGGGGGGGUGUUCUAGCUCCAGUCUGCUCCCAUUGGCCACCCAGCCUCAAGAGAAGGCGCUCCUCCUCUGUUUGGUCCACACAUGGGCCAGGCCGGUGGAUGAGGAGGAGGAAGAGGACCAUUUCCAUUCAAGUGUCUACAGGUCUGCCUGGUUUUAAUAAUGAUAGUGAUGAUGAUGAUGAUGAUGAUGAUGAUGAUGAUGAUGAUCAGUCAGCUUCUGAGGCAUGCGCUCACUCUUUCUGAAGCAGAGACAGUGUGACUUUCAAAGUGUGUUUUCUAUGUAUUUUCGGUGCUAACAGCAGCGGGGAGGGGAAGGACAGGUUGCUUACCUGUAACAGUAUUUCUUCGAGUGGUCAUCUGCGAAUACAU